rnacentral:rRNA from 1 species
UACGUAGGGUGCAAGCGUUGUCCGGAAUUAUUGGGCGUAAAGAGCUCGUAGGCGGUUCGUCGCGUCGGCUGUGAAAACCUGAGGCUCAACCUCAGGCCUGCAGUCGAUACGGGCGGACUUGAGUACUGCAGGGGAGACUGGAAUUCCUGGUGUAGCGGUGAAAUGCGCAGAUAUCAGGAGGAACACCGGUGGCGAAGGCGGGUCUCUGGGCAGUAACUGACGCUGGAGGAGCGAAAGCGUGGGGAGCAAACAGG